rnacentral:rRNA from 1 species
CCAAUAGCGUAUAUUAAAGUUGUUGCAGUUAAAAAGCUCGUAGUUGAAUUUUGGAUUCUGCCAGUUGGUCCAUCUUUUGAUGAGUACUGAUUGUGUGGGGUCUAUCCGCCUGGGGAUACGUAAUGUACUUUAUUGUAUGUUGCGGAUAGCCAGGACCUUUACCUUGAAAAAAUUAGAGUGUUUAAAGCAGGCUUAUGCCGGACUACAUUAGCAUGGAAUAAUAGAAUAGGACGAUGUUGUUUUAUUUUGUUGGUUUCUAGGACAACCGUAAUGAUUAAUAGGGAUAGUUGGGGGCAUUAGUAUUCAAUUGUCAGAGGUGAAAUUCUUGGAUUUAUUGAAGACUAACUACUGCGAAAGCAUUUGCCAAGGAUGUUUUCAUUAAUCAAGAACGAAAGUUAGGGGAUCGAAGACGAUCAGAUACCGUCGUAGUCUUAACCAUAAACUAUGCCGACUAGGGAUCGGGCGAUGUUGUUUCCAUGACUCGCUCGGCACCUUAUG